AUGUAGUUUGACAGAGAAUGCUUUCUGUCAUUCAUGUUUCUUAAAUGCAGAUUGUUGAUUUGCUGGACAGACAAGGAGAGGGGCAAUGUUCAGUUCCUGGGAACACUGUGAAAUAAAACUCAGGAAUCACUGCUCCAGCAGACUGGAUGUGGGUGUUGGACUGUCAGGAGCCAGUGGCACUGCCCAGGUGAGCUUUGACCCCUCCAGGCAGUGAUUGUGCUGCCCUGCUGUAGCUGAUUCUUUUUCUUUUGUCAAAGGCCCAUUUUGGACUUUUUGAGAUCAUCCAGAAGCUGGAAUCAUCCUGCCCAGAUUUCAGUGCAGGUGCUUCAUCCUCCCCUGGCACACAUGGCUGGCACAAGGGCAUGUGGAAGGACAAGGGCCAAGCUGUGCUCUGAGAAACUCCUGGGAAAUGGUGAUGGUGGCACAAAGAGCAAAGCACAAGAUUCCUGAAUAUCAGACAUUCUCCCUGCUGGCAGCUGCAGAGGCAGGGACCAUUUCUAUAUGGUUCUGUACCUGGAUAGUCUUGCAGUGCCACCUUCUCUAGGAUUGUCAGUGGAAUCCAGCACAUUGCUGUGGUGAUCUGCAGCUCUUCCAUUCCACCUCUUGGAUAACACUGCUGAAGUCCACUCCUGAAGGAGCCUUUGUGUAUCAAUUUUGCUUAAGCUUCAAGGAAUGUAUCAACAUGAAACUCCUGUUCCUGCCUCCAGGGAGGAAGAGGAGCUGGGAUUUCUCCUUUGAGAGAUGUGGGGCUCAUGUUUGAAGAAGAAAAAAGCCUGUGCUGUUUCCCCCCCCUGACAAGCAUAAGCAUGGAGAACAGAGAUGCUGCUGGUGUCUCUGGAGAGCUCUGCCAGCCCUGCCUGCCCUGCAGAGGAGCCGGAGUCUGGUUGGAUGGUUUGAAUCUCUGCCAUCAUUUGGAGCAGAAUGAAGCUCUGUGAAAGGACAGAGACUGAAUGCCAAUGGGGCUGUCAUUAGCUCGGGCAGCCCAGGCAGCAGCUGAUGUGCAGUUUGUGGUGGAAGUCAUGCAGACAGAAGGGGUGACUGGGGGUGGAGAGGCCCCAGCCCCCGGCUGCAGCCCGGCCCCAAAGGUGUGCUCCAGCCUUGCUGCUGGGAUGGACCAGGCACAGCUGGUGGCUUCACAAGACACAAAGGCUCCAUGGACCAUCCAUUUGCUGUCAAUUUUUCAGUGAUGUUGGGUGCUGCUGGCCCAGCUCCAUCUUUCUUCCACAGUAAUCAAAGGAAAUGCACCCUAGUCUUGAAGUCUGGUGGUUCAGGACUGAAAGCUUAAUGGCUUUCCUUGGCUUUUUUUUCCCCUCUCUCUUUUAUGAAGCAUAGGGUGUUUAGAACUAUGGAAGCAGUGCAAGAAAAAUAUUAAUGAAUAACUAUGGAGUGCAGACAUUAAUGCAUUCCUUUCUCUUGAAAUAACUGGCUUUUCUCUGUGGGGUCUGUAACAAAAAAGUGUCUGCAGAGUCUGAACCUGCUGUAUAGAAGCCAAAGUAGAUGAUGAUGAUUUAGAACUUCA